rnacentral:rRNA from 1 species
UACGUAGGGGGCAAGCGUUGUCCGGAUUUAUUGGGCGUAAAGAGCGUGUAGGCGCCAGUCAGGUCCGUUGUGAAAACUCGAGCUCAACCUCGAGACGCCGAUGGAAACCGACUGGCUAGAGUCCGGAAGAGGAGAGUGGAAUUCCCGGUGUAGCGGUGAAAUGACGCAGAUAUCGGGAAGAACACCCGUGGCUAAGGCGGCUCUCUAGUACGGUACUGACGCUGAGACGCGAAAGCGUGGGGAGCGAACAGG